UGAGUAACACGUAUCCAACCUGCCGUCUACUCUUGGACAGCCUUCUGAAAGGAAGAUUAAUACAAGAUGGCAUCAUGAGUUCACAUGUUCACAUGAUUAAAGGUAUUCCGGUAGACGAUGGGGAUGCGUUCCAUUAGAUAGUAGGCGGGGUAACGGCCCACCUAGUCUACGAUGGAUAGGGGUUCUGAGAGGAAGGUCCCCCACAUUGGAACUGAGACACGGUCCAA
rnacentral:rRNA from 1 species